GCUGAGCUGUGCCCAGCUGGCACCAGCAAACCCCACAGCCAGCCUUUUAAUCCUUGUCCUGCUCACAAGAACAGGUACAUGCACCAGCAAACCCCACAGGCAGCCUUUUUAAUCCUUGUCCUGCCCACAUGAACAGUGCUGGGUGAGCUGUGCCCAGCUGGCACCAGCAAACCCCACAGCCAGCCUUUUAAUCCUUGUCCUGCCCACAUGAACAGGUACGUGCUGGGUGAGCUGUGCCCAGCUGGCACCAGCAAACCCCACAGGCAGCAUUUACAUCCUUCCCUUGCCCACAUGAACAGGUACGUGCUGGGCGAGCUGUGCCCAGCUGGCACUGGCAAACCACACAGGUAGCCUUUUUAAUCCUUGUCCUGCUCACAAGAACAGGUACAUGCACCAGCAAACCCCACAGGCAGCCUUUCUAAUCCUUGUCCUGCCCACAUGAACAGGUACGUGCUGGGUGAGCUGUGCCCAGCUAGCACCGGCAUAGCCUCUGGGCAGCCUUUUUAAUCCUUGUUCUGCCCUCAUGAACAGUUACAUGCACCAGCAAACCCCACAGGCAGCCUUUUUAAUCCUUGUCCUGCCCACAUGAACAGGUACAUGCACCAGCAAACUCCACAGCCAGCCUUUUUAAUCCUUGUCCUGCCCACAUGAACAGUGCUGGGUGAGCUGUGCCCAGCUGGCACCAGCAUAGCCUCUGGGCAGCCUCAUUUAUCCUUCCCCUGCCCAUGUGAGCAGGUAUUGCUGGGGUGAGGUGUGCCCAGCUGGCACCAGCAAACCCCACAGCCAGCUUUUUUAAUCCUUGUCCUGCUCACAUGAACAGGUACAUGCACCAGCAAACCCCACAGGCAGCAUUUACAUCCUUCCCUUGCCCACAUGAACAGGUACAUGCUGGGGAGAGCUGUGCCCAGCUGGCACCAGCAAAACCCACAGCCAGCAUUUACAUACUUCCCCUGCCCUCAUGAGCAGGUGUGUCCUGGGGAUGACCCACCUGGGCGCCUCCAAACCCUCUGGGCAGCCUCAUUUAUCCUUGUCCUGCUCACAAGAACAGGUACAUGCACCAGCAAACCCCACAGGCAGCAUUUACAUCCUUCCCCUGCCCACAUGAACAGGUACAUGCUGGGGGUGACCCACCUGGGCGCCUCCAAACCCUCUGGGCAGCCUCAUUUAUCCUUGUCCUGCUCACAAGAACAGGUACAUGCACCAGCAAACCCCACAGGCAGCAUUUACAUCCUUCCCCUGCCCUCAUGAACAGGUACAUGCUGGGGGUGACCCACCUGGGCGCCUCCAAACCCCCUGGGCAGCCAAUUAAAUAAUCUCCAAUAGAUCCUGGGCCUCAUUAAUCGCUGUACUGUCACAUCAGUCCCAUCAAUCAAACAGGAAAUCUUUGUUUUUGCCCUUCACUUCAUGCAUUCCACCUUUUUGGGCCCUUUUUUAGAUCACCUAAAAGGCGAUUUUACCAAAAUGGUAAAAACAAAGGCAUGCCUGCCUAUUACUGAGUCUUGGAGCUCAAGCCUGCAAAAUCUGAGGGUGGGUGGUGAGUUUUACCACAAAAGCCCUGAUUUGAGGUGAAUAGGAGCAUUCUCAUGCUCAGCACACACACAAUAAAUACAUAAUUCUGGUGGGAUCUUGAGUUAGUGUUGCUGCUCACAGCAGGAUUGAGGAGGGGGGUUACUGGUCUGACUCCAGGGGUUGUUUCAGACUGUGCAUUCCCAAGGAGUUUUCCUGCUUUUCCUGCUACCACCGUGUUCUAUAACUCCUCUGUUCCCUUCGGAUGUCCAGGGACAUCCAGUUAUAUCCAAAGGAAUCAGUUUCCAUCAUUAAAAUGGGAACAAAUCAGCUGAAUGUUCCUGCAGGAAGGAAAAUAAUAAACUACAAGUGCAAGAGCUGAAAAAAGAAUGAAACUCUUGUUCCUAGGAAGGGACACAGCGAUUGUUCAGCAGGGUGGUACCAGACAUUGUAAUGAUGAAUUGCAUUGACUUUUUUACUUGAGGCUGAGUCAGGGCAGGUAUAGAUUGGAUAUCAGGAAAAGGUUCUUCUUUUAGGAGAAGGUUCUUCUUUCUGUUAGAAAAAGGAUCCUUGGACUUCUUGAUCCUUCUAACUCAGGGUGUUCCAUAUUCUGUGAAUAAUGCUGGGUUUAUUAGGAUUGGAGGAGUGAGUACUAAGCUAUGCCAUGCAGCACCAGGUUCCUGCAAGCUCUGGCAUUAAAUGAAGCUCACACUGGGUAAUGAACCCUCUUUUCCAAACUCUGUGCUGCUGCUGAUCUCCUCUUCCCCUUUUCCCUGCCCCUCCAUGCUUGGGCAGGAACAGCUCUGAGCCAUGAGGAUGUUAAUGACUGACCAUCUGUACAGUGAUCAAAAAUAUUAAUAAUGAUGAGAAUUCAUUUCCCUUUUGUCCUGAAACCUCUCCUGCCCUCAGUGUUUUGAUCAGCAGCCUCUUUGCUGCUUUUCCUGAGGAAUAUAAAUACACUCUCCACAUGCUUUUUCUCUGCAUGUUAUUUUCAGGCCAACCUUAAGGCAGUUUUGGAUUUGCUGUGUAGCCAAAGAAAUGCACUUCAGCUCUGCGUUGUGUUCAGUUUCACAACAUUAUUUUAAUAGAUUAUUAUAUUGUCUUAA